UCGGGUGUGGUGUAUGGAACACAGUGGGGCCUGUUGUAAAGAAGCAACAAUCGCUACCCGUAGUCCGGGGUUCGACUCCCCGCGCCCGAA